UACCAGCACCCCGAGUGGUCGGGACGAUUAUUGGGCCUAAAGCAUCCGUAGCCGGUUCUGCAAGUCACCCGUUAAAUCCAGCUGCUCAACAGAUGGGCCGCGGAGGAUACUACAGAGCUAGGAGGCAGGAGGGGCAAGCGGUACUCAGUGGGUAGGGGUAAAAUCCGUUGAUCCAUUGAAGACCACCAGUGGCGAAGGCGGCUUGCCAGAAUGCGCUCGACGGUGAGGGAUGAAAGCUGGGGGAGCAAAGC
rnacentral:rRNA from 1 species